rnacentral:tRNA from 1 species
GCCGAAAUAGCUCAGCUGGGGAGCGUUAGACUAUAAACCAAAAGGUCCCUGGUUUGAUACCGGGGUUCGGCA